GUCCACGCCGUAAACGUUGAUUACUCGUUGUUGGCGAUACACUGUCAGCGACUAAGCGAAAGCGUUAAGUAAUCCACCUGGGGAGUACGAUCGCAAGAUUGAAACUCAAAGGAAUUGACGGGGGCCCCGCACAAGCGGUGGAGCAUGUGGUUUAAUUCGAUGAUACGCGAGGAACCUUACCAGGGCUUGAAAGUUAGAGACUUUCGGUGAAAGCCGAUUUCCCUUCGGGGCUCGAAACUAGGUGCUGCAUGGCUGUCGU
rnacentral:rRNA from 1 species